AACCUGGUUGAUCCUGCCAGUAGUGUUUGAUGGGUAUAUAYAAUAAGCCAUGCAUGUCUCCGAAUAGAAGAGCAAGUCUCUCUGAAUCUGCGAACGGCUCCGCAUACCAGUUGUAAACCAUAGCAAGCAAGCCGCGUUGUUGCCGCAAGGCGACGGCGCGGUUCACAGGGAUAACCCUGGUAAUUCUGAGGCUAAUACAAGAACGUACCACCCGCUUCGACCCGUAAGGGGAGGGCGGGGGUUGUGUGACCCAGGUCGCAAAUAUUAACUGGGAGUGGCCACACGAUCUGACCACCAUACCAAACGGUUAUCCGCUUCGAAAGCUUCGGUGAGUAACGGCGGAUUUCUGGGUGGCUCUCGCUGUGUGCUUCUGACCUAUCAACUAGAUGGCAGCGUAACGGACAUGCCAUGGUAACAACGGGUACAGAGGAUAAGGGUUCGAUCCUGGAGAGUGGGCCUGAGAGAUUGCUCACACUUCUAAGGAAGGCAGCAGGCGCGCAACGUUCCCAUUGGGCAAAGCUCGAGGGCGUUAGGGGACAUAUGAAUGCCUGCCUAUGGUGGCAAUCAAAUGACGAAC
rnacentral:rRNA from 1 species